UCUCUGGUGUUGAGAGGUCAUUACUCGUCACAUCUGGGGACUGGAUCUGUGCCACUAAGGAGUGAAGCGCAGACGUCCUCUUCCCCUUGGCAUCCGUGAAAGAGCACAGGGCUGUGAACCAAGACAAGGGGUCCAGGCCAAGCGUUGUGACCACCUUGCCACUGACCCUCACACUGCUCUCUUCCUGCACCUGGUCCCACCUGCACUCUCCUUCUGUUAGCAUCCUGUGGUCACGACAUGGUUCCUCCUACUGGUGGAAAAGACAGGACCCAGCAAGACGGAAAUGAUUCAGGAAGCUAUGGGAGGGUCAUGCCACUUCGGGCACCAUUAAACCCCUGGGGUCCCACACAGCAGCUGGCAUCUGUCAGUGCCAGGAGACCCCUGGCUCCUCCCUACCUCCCACACUACCAGGCCCUGGGGACUCCUGGGAAGCAGCAGGACUCACAGGUUGUCACUACUUCUCCAUGGGUGUCCUCACCACACAUGGAGAGACAGAGAGGCAGUGUGUGCAUGGCAAAGGGCAUGGGACAGGGGCUUCUGCAGGCAGCUGUCUCCACAGGUCCUCAGCCUCAGGAGGCAGAGGGACCCCACCCUGGAGGCCGGGCAUCUGGGGCUGUCUUCACAGGAGCCUGUUCAUCCUGAACCAGGAACUGGAAUUGCUGGUCAUUGAAAUAAUUAGCUUCUCUUCAACCUCACAGAAAGAAUACUUCCUUCUACUCAAAACUGUAUCAGCCCCAGAGACCUCAGCUGGGUUUCCGCUGCAAUUCUCCUGUAUAGGAAAAGGUUUCAGGACGCUGGGUGGGAGAGAGGCCAGCUUUCUUCACAGAACAGCGGAGAGAAGCAGAAACAUACCACAAAGAUGCGGUUUCAAAGCCACUUUCUGAGGCAAACACACAGGGGAAAUUAAGCAGACAUGAGAAAGAGUCCAGUUGAGGUCUCACUGGCUGAGAGUCACAAAAUUUCAACACACUGGACCAAACCCUUGCGCGACUGCCUGCAGAGAAGUCUGCUCCACUCUCUGAGAAAUAUCUCUUGAAAAAGUAUUCACACAGCUGAUAGGCCAUGCUUGAGGUCAAGGCCUGUGUCUUCCCCUCAUGACCUUUGACCUUUGGGUCUUGCUAGCACUUUCAAAUCUGAACAAGGUGCUUUCAAUGACCACCUUGAAAUUCACAAAAGGAAGUUCUCUAGAAAGAGAAAUAAGCAAGUCAGAUGAUUCAUGAUUCUUCACUUAACUUUAAAACUUGGCUUGAUCCUUAAACUUAGUUAUAAGUGACGCCCUUAGGAUGAUACACUUUCAGAAGCUACAAAUCACACGUGUAGCUACUGCGGGGUGCACGUCUUGCUUUCCACCCACCCUGUCUCUGCAAGUCUGCCCCUUGCUUAAUAAAUUCUGACUUUGCUUUGUA